UACAGAGGAGCCAAGCGUUGUCCGGAUUGACUGGGCGUAAAGCGCACGCAGGCGGAUGCGCGCGUGGGGUGUGAAAUCUGGCCGCUUAACGGCCAGGCGCCAUCCCAUACGGCGCGUCUGGAGUGAUGCAGAGGUCGGUGGAAUUGCCGGUGUAGCGGUGGAAUGCGCAGAUAUCAGGAGGAACACCAGUGGCGAAGGCGGCUCACUGGUCCGGUACUGACGCUGAGGUGCGAAAGCGUGGGGAGCAAACAGG
rnacentral:rRNA from 1 species